ensembl:lncRNA
CCCUGAGCGUUCCCCCGGUCUGACCCGUUGGACCCUAAGGGGCAGCUGAGAGGGUGCAGGACGCAGACAGGGAGGCAGCUGGGAGGUGCGUCCAGCUGCUCCUUCUGCCAGGCCUGGCAUCCGGAUGCCACGCACUGGCCUCCUCUGAUCCGGGGCUCAUCCAGGGCCGCCUCCCUAUGCCAGACUCUGCAGGACACUUUCAUAAUCUUCUAUGAAGAAGACUAUAAAGAAAGCUGAAUGCCAAAGAAUUGAUGCUUUUGAACUGUGGUGUUGGAGAAGACUCUUGAGAGUCCCUUGGACUGCAAGGAGAUCCAACCAGUCCAUCCUAAAGGAAAUCAGUCCUGAAUAUUCAUUGGAAGGACUGAUGCUGAAGCUGAAACUCCAAUGGCCAAAAUACUUUGGCCACCUGAUGCAAAGCACUGACUCAUUUGAAA